GGCGGAGGGUGCACGGCUGUCGGUGGUCUCGCGUCAAAAACGAGGUUGCUGAGGAAGCUCCGCUCACUCGAUUCAUUCAAAAGGCGCGCAAGCGCCGCCGCUUAAGGCGGGGAACGAAGAACAGAAACGAUAACCCGCGCUCGCGCAGGAUGAGCGCGAAAGCGCGACGUUGCGAACCGGGUUUGAAACGCGCUUCGUUCAAAAGAGUGCAAGGCGUUAAACGCCGCUUAGUUCAAUGCCGUGACAAACAGAAAGCGGGCUACAGCCCGCCGCC
rnacentral:RNase_P_RNA from 1 species